rnacentral:tRNA from 1 species
GCUGUUUUUGUAAUUUGCACUAUACAACAAACUAUACAACUAUGUGAUAAAAGCACUGCAAAUGCUUGUUUUGUGCAUUAUUCGUAAUGCGGGGGUCGUAGGUUCGAAUCCUAUAGGCGGCACCA